AGGACAUUGGUUAAUUAUAAUAAAGAAACUGCCUCGGCCCUCAUAGGACAGAAAAUUAGGUAGGCGGAGUAGACAGAAGAGAAUUCUGGGAGAAAGAAGCUUAGUCGAGGAGUCGCCAUGAUUCUCCCACUCCAGACAGACGCAGGUUAAGAUCCUCCCUGGGAGGUCUGACACACAUCUCUCCUGGAUUUUCCUCAGUGACUUCUUCCCAAACUGUUGCUGCUGCUGGACCAUCUGUCAGGCUUCCAGCAUCUGCAUCUCUCUCUCCCAGCAGGAUGGGGACUCAGCCCAGGGAUGAUGCUGCAACCACAGUGGAACCGUGAAGCCAACGAAAGGGCCAAGGAGAAAAAAGCUUAUUUUGAGACUCACAGAAGAAACUCCAGGGAGAAGACUUGAGGCCUGGCCUCUUUCAGCUUCCAAUUUAUGCAAAUAUCUCAGAUUAUCAGAAAUUGUUCUGGCUUCACAUCAUCAAAAUUUCCCUCACAGGAAAAAGGGGAGCCAGACACGCAGUUGCUCAACACCUUUGCAACCGAGACUAAGUUCAGGCCAUUGAUAAUAGUCACAGAUUAUUGUCUCGCACCAUAAGUUUGCCUUGCCCUCUCUAUGUCUACCCUCACUACUUAGUCUCUGUCCUCAUAUGGCUCAAAUGUAACCAUAAGGGCAGGAUCUAGAGCAACAGCUUUUGAGAGUAAA